AGUGAACGCUGGCGGUAGGCCUAACACAUGCAAGUCGAACGGCAGCACAGUAAGAGCUUGCUCUUACGGGUGGCGAGUGGCGGACGGGUGAGGAAUACAUCGGAAUCUACUUUUUCGUGGGGGAUAACGUAGGGAAACUUACGCUAAUACCGCAUACUACCUACGGGUGAAAUCAGGGGAUCUUCGGACCUUGCGCGAUUGAAUGAGCCGAUGUCGGAUUAGCCAGUUGGCGGGGUAAAGGCCCACCAAGGCGACGAUCCGUAGCUGGUCUGAGAGGAUGAUCAGCCACACUGGAACUGAGACACGGUCCAGACUCCUACGGGAGGCAGCAGUGGGGAAUAUUGGACAAAGGGCGCAAGCCUGAUCCAGCCAUACCGCGUGGGUGAAGAAGGCCUUCGGGUUGUAAAGCCCUUUUGUUGGGAAAGAAAAGCAGCAGGUUAAUACCCCGCUGUUCUGACGGUACCCAAAGAAUAAGCACCGGCUAACUUCGUG
rnacentral:rRNA from 1 species